rnacentral:rRNA from 1 species
AUUGUGUGAAUACAUAGCACAUUCGAGGUAGACGCAGAGAACUGAAACAUCUAAGUACCUGCAGGAAGAGAAAGAAAAUUCGAUUCCCUGAGUAGCGGCGAGCGAAACGGGAAAAGCCCAAACCAGCAAGCUUGCUUGUUGGGGUUGUAGGACUCCAAUAUGGUAGUUCUUUCAGAUAGUCGAAUGACUUGGAAAAGUCAGUCAAAGAGGGUAAAAACCCCGUAGACGAAAUGUGGAAGACACCUAGGAGGAUCCUGAGUACGGCGGAACACGAGAAAUUCCGUCGGAAUCCGGGAGGACCAUCUCCCAAGGCUAAAUACUCCCUAGUGACCGAUAGUGAACCAGUACCGUGAGGGAAAGGUGAAAAGCACCCCGGAAGGGGAGUGAAAUAGAACCUGAAACCGUGUGCCUACAACAAGUCAAAGCCCGUUAAUGGGUGAUGGCGUGCCUUUUGUAGAAUGAACCGGCGAGUUACGAUUGCAUGCGAGGUUAAGUUGAAGAGACGGAGCCGCAGCGAAAGCGAGUCUGAAUAGGGCGUUUGAGUAUGUAGUCGUAGACCCGAAACCAUGUGAUCUACCCAUGUCCAGGUUGAAGGUGCGGUAAAACGCACUGGAGGACCGAACCCACGUACGUUGAAAAGUGCGGGGAUGAGGUGUGGGUAGCGGAGAAAUUCCAAACGAACUUGGAGAUAGCUGGUUCUCUCCGAAAUAGCUUUAGGGCUAGCCUCGGAAUUGAGAAUGAUGGAGGUAGAGCACUGUUUGGACUAGGGGCCCAUCUCGGGUUACCGAAUUCAGAUAAACUCCGAAUGCCAUUCAUUCAUAUCCGGGAGUCAGACUGUGAGUGAUAAGAUCCAUAGUCGAAAGGGAAACAGCCCAGACCACCAGCUAAGGUCCCAAAAUAUAUGUUAAGUGGAAAAGGAUGUGGGGUUGCACAGACAACUAGGAUGUUGGCUUAGAAGCAGCCACCAUUUA